AGAAAUAAUAUAUUCUAGGUUUGCCCUUAGUCAUAUGAUGUAUGUAAAUUUGCUAGGAGUUUAUGAUUGUAUCCUUCUGUUUUAUAUUUUUAUUAAAAUAUUUUCCCUGUAAUUAUUAUAUGUUUUUAGCUUUGCUAUGUAAAUAUAUCUUUGGACCUCUUUUUUUCUUGUUUUCUUGUGGGCCUUGGCGCAUCACCUAUUGUACCUAUUGUCAGAGUGUUAGACCAUCAUUAUCGCUAGGUUUUUAGGUGGGUUCUUAAUUUAAUUAGAAUUAAAAAUAAAAAUUACCAUAGAGCUCCCGUUGCAGAAUCUGCUCGACGAUUGCCAUAGAGCUCCCGAGCUGCUUAAUCUCGCCGAUACUGCUCCCAGUGGAGAUAGAACCGAAACAGGUGGUUCCGGAAAGGAUUACAGAAACCCCGUUGGCUCAUCGGAGUCUCCUUCUUCCGAUUCAGGAGAUCCUAAAGCCGAUGAGGAUUUUAGCAGUCGUCGCUCUGCUUUAUUUUCUUCUGGUUUCUGCAAGUCCGAUCGAGACAUACGUUUACUAAUUACCGAGUUUGCUUGUUUCCUGGUUACAGGGGACAUGUUUCAAACAGAGCUUGAACUCGCCUAACAUGAAGCUGUGGAUCACUGGAUCACUUCUAAACCAAGGGGUCUAAAGUUAAUUUUAUGGAUGUUGUUUAUGCUUUGAAGAGGCAAGGUCGCACUCUCUAUGGCGUCAGACGAGGCUGCUUCUUGAGCUUGACGCUGCUCCUAGCUUGAAGAGGCAAGGUCGCACUGUAAUCACAUUGCUUGUAUUGAAAACUUGCAGAUCAUAGUCUAUUCUUCUGCAAAAGCCUUUAGAGGAAGCAAAAAUGACAGAAGCAUUGCAGAAUGACGAUGCCUGUGUUGGGUCAUUUCAGAGCUUCAUGAGUGAUUGAUAGCUCGUGGUGGUUUAGUAUUGUUGAUGUCACUGGGAUCACUCAUGGGAAAGGUUUUCAGGUGAAAACUGAUUUUAAAACUACGAUCUUUUCUUUGUCUUAGAUAGAACGUAAGUGUUAGAAUAGUCAAGUAACAAUGUGCUUUAGUGUCGAGAGUUAAUGGAUGUGUUGUUGAUGUAAUUUUCUUGGAUGACAAGGUUUCAAUGCAUAGAAUGAAAAAAUUAAGAACCCA